UGGAGUUCAGACGUGUGCUCUUCCGAUCUUUGGCAUCGUCAGGCGACGAAGGACGUGAUAAGCUGCGAUAAGCCUCGGUUAGCGGCAAAUACGCUUUAACCCGGGGAUUUCCGAAUGGGGCAACCCAGCGCAGGUAAUACUGCGUUACUCCUUCCUGAAUAUAUAGGGAAGGUAGAGCGAUACCCGCUGAAGUGAAACAUCUCAGUAAGCGGAGGAAAAGAAAGAGAAUCGAUUCCGUAAGUAGCGGCGAGCGAAAGCGGAUCAGCCCAAACCUGGUCGAUUUAUCGACUGGGGGUUGUAGGGCCAGGCUGUGGAGACGUUAUUGAUAGUAAAAGGUUCUGGAAAGUUCCGCCAUAGAAGGUGACAGCCCUGUAUGCGAAAUCAAUAAUCAUCCUACUGGUACCCUGAGUAGCACCGGACACGUGAAACCCGGUGUGAAUCUGCGCAGACCAUUGCGUAAGGCUAAAUACUCGACGAUGACCGAUAGUGAACUAGUACCGUGAGGGAAAGGUGAAAAGUACCCCUGUUAGGGGAGUGAAAUAGAAACUGAAACCAAUAGCAGACAAGUCAGUGGGAGCUUCCUUGUGGAGUGACCGCCUGCCUUUUGCAUAAUGAGCCUGUGAGUUUAUGUCCGUAGCAAGCCUAAGCAUCUUCGAUGCGGAGGCGCAGCGAAAGCGAGUCUGAAUAGGGCUACUGAGUUGCUGGCAUAAGACCCGAAGCGGAGGUGAUCUAACCAUGGCCAGGUUGAAGCUUCAGUAAAAUGAAGUGGAGGACCGAACGGGUACAGCUUGAGAACUGUUCCGAUGAGCUGUGGUUUGGAGCGAAAGACUAAUCAAACCCCGUGAUAGCUGGUUCUUUCCGAAAUAUAUUUAGGUAUAGCGUCGCGUGCUGACUCUAGGAGGUAGAGCACUGAAUGGGCUAGGGGCCAUACCCGGUUACCAACCCCAAUCAAACUCCGAAUGCCUAGGGGUGAAGCGCGGCAGUCAGACUGCGGGUGAUAACGUCCGUAGUCGAGAGGGCAACAACCCAGACCAUCGAAUAAGGUCCCUAAACGUGUCUCAGUGGAGAAGGAUGUGGAUUUACACAGACAAUGAGGAUGUUGGCUUAGAGGCAGCCACCAUUUAAACAGUGCGUAAUAGCUGACUCAUCGAGUGAAUCUGCGCCGAAAAUGAUCGGGACUUAAGACACGUACCGAAUUCAUGGGUGCACUAUUUAUAGUGUGCAGUAGGAAAGCGUUCCAAGCGGAGCGAAGGGGAAGCGGCAAGCAACCCUGGACUGCUUGGAAGUGAGAAUGCAGGCAUGAGUAACGAUAAAACAGGUUAAAAUCCUGUUCGCCGUAAGGAUAAGGUUUCCUGGGGAAGGUUCGUCCGCCCAGGGUUAGUCGGGAGCUAAGGCGAGGCCGUAAGGAGUAGUCGAUGCACAAGAGGUUAAUAUUCCUCUACCGGCAUGAAGGUGUUUGAUCUUCGGAGUGACGGAGAAGGUUAAUCUGGCUGUCUGUUGAAUGUGGCAGUCUAAGCACGUAGGUUGAGAGCAUAGGUAAAUCCGGCUCUCUUUAAGCUGAAAUGUGGGGACCUCAAAGCUACGGCUGCGAGGGAUCAGAUGAUACCAAGCUUCAAGUAAAAGCUUCGUUGUUAGCCCAAUGUCGCCCGUACCGCAAACCGACACAGGUAUCCGGGUUGAGUAUACUAAGGCGCGUGAGUUAAAUCUCUCUAAGGAACUCGGCAAAUUUGCCCCGUAUCUUCGGUAGAAGGGGUGCCUACUUCGGUAGGUCGCAGUUAAGAGGUUCAACCGACUGUUUAGCAAAAACACAGCUCUCUGCUAAGUCGCAAGACGAUGUAUAGGGAGUGACACGUGACCAAUGCAGAAAGGUGAAAAUCUGAGGUGAGAGCUUCGGAUCUAAGCCCCUGUGAAUGUCGGCCGUAACUAUAACGGUCCUAAGGUAGCGAAAUUCCUUGUCGGGU
rnacentral:rRNA from 1 species